AGCAGCGUGGCUCAGUGGAAAGAGCCCGGGCUUGGGAGUCAGAGGUCAUGGGUUCGAAUCCCGGCUCUGCCA
rfam:Ornithorhynchus anatinus chromosome 10, whole genome shotgun sequence.